rnacentral:tRNA from 1 species
GUUGAAGUAGUAAAAAUUAAUACGUCGGACUUAAGCUCCGGAGGUGGGGUUUUGCCCCCUUUAACA